GAUGAACGCUGGCGGCGUGCUUAACACAUGCAAGUCGAACGGAAAGGCCCAAGCUUGCUUGGGUACUCGAGUGGCGAACGGGUGAGUAACACGUGGGUGAUCUGCCCUGCACUUCGGGAUAAGCCUGGGAAACUGGGUCUAAUACCGGAUAGGACCACAUUUUGGAUGGUGUGGUGGAAAGUUUUUCGGUGUGGGAUGAGCUCGCGGCCUAUCAGCUUGUUGGUGGGGUAAUGGCCUACCAAGGCGUCGACGGGUAGCCGGCCUGAGAGGGUGUACGGCCACAUUGGGACUGAGAUGCGGCCCAGACUCCUACGGGAGGCAGCAGUGGGGAAUAUUGCACAAUGGGCGCAAGCCUGAUGCAGCGACGCCGCGUGGGGGAUGACGGCCUUCGGGUUGUAAACUCCUUUCGCUAGGGACGAAGCGCAAGUGACGGUACCUGGAGAAGAAGCACCGGCUAACUACGUG
rnacentral:rRNA from 1 species